rnacentral:misc_RNA from 1 species
GACGAAGAACGUAGCGAAAUGCGAUACUUGGUGUGAAUUGCAGAAUCCCGUGAACCAUCGAGUCUUUGAACGCAAGUUGCGCCCGAAGCCACUAGGCCGAGGGCACGCCUGCCUGGGCGUCACACGUCGUUGCCCCCCCAUCUACUCCUUCGGGAUUGCGGGGGGGCGGAUGAUGGCCUCCCGUGCGCCUAGCCGCGCGGUUGGCAUAAAUACCAAGUCCUCGGCGACGCACGCCACGACAAUCGGUGGUUGCGAAACCUCGGUUGCCCGUCGUGUGCGUUCGUCGCGCAUCGAGGGCUCGAAAAAAUGCUCGGCUCCGGCUGGGCUUUCAACGCGACCCCAGGUCAGGCGGGGUUACCCGCUGAAUUUAAGCAUAUCAAUAAGCGGAGGA